UACAGAGGGGGCAAGCGUUGUUCGGAAUUAUUGGGCGUAAAGGGCGCGUAGGCGGCCUGUUAAGUCGGACGUGAAAUCCCCGGGCUCAACCCGGGAACUGCGUCCGAUACUGGCAGGCUUGAAUCCGGGAGAGGGAUGCGGAAUUCCAGGUGUAGCGGUGAAAUGCGUAGAUAUCGAGAAGAACACCAGAGGCGAAAGCGAGUUACUGGACAGAAUCUGACGCUGCAGCACGAAAGCUAGGGGAGCAAACGGG
rnacentral:rRNA from 1 species